AAACUAUGUAAUCAGGUGUAGCAGGAUUAGGUGAGCUGUGAUUGACAGCUACUGUCACCUAUCAGGAAGGGGCAGUCCCUUUUUAAGCACUGAUUGGCUGCUGCUCGGAAUGCGUCAUGUCCUGUGUUUCCCCCGGGUGUUUGUAGCAAUAGCGACAGCGUGUUUGUCCAGCGUACUGGUGCCCUUGUGCUGUUGGUGGCUUAAAUGACUGUGCACCCUCAGUUGGCUGUGGUUGACCUGUUGUAGGUUAAACAGUGCUGUAAAAGACGUUAAUGUGUCUGGGGUGAUGCCACUGUGCGGGUUCUCCCUUUUGUUCUACGUGGUUUCCUCUGGUUGCUGCCUGUUUGAGUCUCGUGCUGUUUUAUCGCACCGCUGUAACAUUACAUUAUUGUCACUGUUGUAAACCGGACCGUCCACUGUCUGGUUUCUGACUUGAGUGUGUAUUAUCUUGAAGUGGAGGAUUAGCGCAUUGGAGCCGGCGUAUGGACUUUGGUGUUUGCGCCAUGACUUUCGUGUAGCUUCAGCUGCCAGUUUUCUUUGUUUGUUUGUUUUUGCUUUAUUGUAAAAUUUGUAUAUUAUUGUUUUGAAUAUGUAUUUUGCUUAAUAUCCUUUCAGGAGCUGGGGUCCCCACGGGUGAGGGAUCUUGUGGUGGUGGUGGUACCGCUCAACGGUUCCCGUGUUACACAUUUGAAGUGUAUAUGUGUGUGUACAUUGAGUUCACGGUGUGGUGUGCGAAAGUGUGCUUUUGGACAACUUGUGCCAGUGAUCCCUUAAGUGGGUAACCUCAGCUCUGUAGGUUUGUGUAUUGUUUUAAUUAGUUUAUUAUUUGUCUUCCUUUCCACGCACUGCAUUGUAGCAGUGAGGACCAUUAAACCUUCAAUUGUUUUGUAUUUUUGUGUAACUUUGUGAUUGUGAUGUUUUAUGUCAUU